GCCUCGGUGGCGAAAUUGGUAGACGCAAGGGACUUAAAAUCCCUCGGUGGCAACACCGUGCCGGUUCGACUCCGGCCCGAGGCACCA
rnacentral:tRNA from 1 species